rnacentral:rRNA from 1 species
CCUACGGGAGGCAGCAGUAGGGAAUCUUCCACAAUGGACGAAAGUCUGAUGGAGCAACGCCGCGUGAGCGAUGAAGGCCUUCGGGUCGUAAAGCUCUGUUGUUAGGGAAGAACGAAGUACCGGAGUAACUGCUCGAAGCUACCUAUGUAUCGGUACCGUAACCAGAAAGCCACGGCUAACUACGUGCCAGCAGCCGCGGUAAUACGUAGGUGGCAAGCGUUGUCCGGAAUUAUUGGGCGUAAAGCGCGCGCAGGCGGUCCUUUAAGUCUGAUGUGAAAGCCCACGGCUCAACCGUGGAGGGUCAUUGGAAACUGGGGGACUUGAGUGCAGAAGAGGAAAGCGGAAUUCCACGUGUAGCGGUGAAAUGCGUAGAGAUGUGGAGGAACACCAGUGGCGAAGGCGGCUUUCUGGUCUGUAACUGACGCUGAGGCGCGAAAGCGUGGGGAGCAAACAGGAUUAGAUACCCUGGUAGUCCACGCCGUAAACGAUGAGUGCUAAGUGUUAGGGGGUUUCCGCCCCUUAGUGCUGCAGCUAACGCAUUAAGCACUCCGCCUGGGGAGUACGGCCGCAAGGCUGAAACUCAUAAGGGGAAUCUGACGGGGAGCCCGCACAAGCUGGCCUGGAGCAUGCCCUGGUUUAAUUCGAAGCAACGCGAAGAACCUUAC